ensembl:lncRNA
CUAAAGACCAGAUAUGGAGGUAUUGCAGAACCAAGCUACUUGUCAUUCGUUAUCAUAAAUGUGGUAUUAAAUGUGGAGAUAAGCGAUGAAAGAAGAGGGAGGCCGGGUGCUGAGGAUUACUGAUACACAGGAGGGUGUGUGUGUGUUGUGAGCAGAUGGUGCAGCCCAGCCCUGCUCCGCCUGAUCCCUCUGACAGCUGCACUAGAUCCUCGGUGAAGCUUUACUCCGGGAUCACGUGCCUCCAGUCACUGCGUCGGAUCCGUCCUUGUUGCUGUCCUACCCAGGCUGUGCGAAGGUUUCAUCCGCGCAGUCAGAGCCAGGGGAACCAUGCCGAUGGGGUGUGUGCUUGCGUGCAUAGGCCCCUGAGCCCCGGCCCCUGUGUGGUCUGGCUGUACAUGUAUGUGUGUGGUCUUCCCGGCCCCCUGCUCAUCUGUCCGAGGCCUGCUAACGGCCUGCCCAGUGACCACGGCUGUUUACUUUACUUCUGUCUGCACCAACUGAACUCUGAUCGCCGCUUCCUCCAGCUGGGCCAAAUCAGGCCCCAGCUCCGACUCUCAGCAGCGCAUGCAGAGGCCCGAAAGUCUAG